rnacentral:rRNA from 1 species
GACGAACGCUGGCGGCGUGCUUAACACAUGCAAGUCGAACGGAAAGGCCCUGCUUUUGUGGGGUGCUCGAGUGGCGAACGGGUGAGUAACACGUGAGUAAACUGCCCUUGAAUUUGGGAUAACUUCUGGAAACUGGGGCUAAUACCGGAUAGGAGCUCCUGCUGCAUGGUGGGGGUUGGAAAGUUUCGGCGGUUGGGGAUGGACGCGCGGCUUAUCAGCCUGUUGGUGGGGUAGUGGCUUACCAAGGCUUUGACGGGUAGCCGGCCUGAGCGGGUGACCGGCCACAUUGGGACUGAGAUACGGCCCAGACGCCUACGGGAGGCAGCAGUGGGGAAUAUGGCACAAUGGGCGGAAGCCUGAUGCAGCAACGCCGCGUGCGGGAUGACGGCCUUCGGGUUGUAAACCGCUUUCGCCUGUGACGAAGCGUGAGUGACGGUAAUGGGUAAAGAAGCACCGGCUAACUACGUG